rfam:Schistosoma mansoni strain Puerto Rico chromosome 6, complete genome
AUCCAGCUGACGAAUCCCAAAUAGGACGAAGCGGCGCGCGUCAAACUGGAU